rnacentral:rRNA from 1 species
GACGUAGGGGGCGAGCGUUGUCCGGAUUCAUUGGGCGUAAAGAGCGCGUAGGCGGCCCGGAAAGUGGGAUGUGAAAACCCGAGGCUCAACCUCGGGUCUGCAGUCGAUACGAGCAAACUAGAGUGUUGCAGGGGAGACUGGAAUUCCUGGUGUAGCGGUGAAAUGCGCAGAUAUCAGGAGGAACACCGGUGGCGAAGGCGGGUCUCUGGGCAACAACUGACGCUGAGGAGCGAAAGCGUGGGGAGCGAACAGG